rnacentral:rRNA from 1 species
UACGUAGGGGGCGAGCGUUGUCCGGAUUUAUUGGGCGUAAAGAGCUCGUAGGCGGUUUGGCAAGUCGGGUGUGAAAACUCCGGCUCAACUCGGAGACGCCACUCGAUACUGCCAUGACUCGAGUCCGGUAGGGGAGUGCGGAAUUCCUGGUGUAGCGGUGAAAUGCGCAGAUAUCAAGAGGAACACCGGUGGCGAAGGCGGCACUCUGGGCCGAUUCUGACACUGAGGAGCGAAAGCGUGGGGAGCAAACAGG